CCGUCGCGGCCUGUUGUGGGGCCGAGCGCGGGCGGGAGCGAGGAUGUCUGAGUCAGAGCUGCAUCCUCCGAUGAACGAAUGCCAAAACUCCCUCCUCGGCCGCUCUCCCCCACCCCGACCUCCGGCUUCUUCCUCACGACCGUCGAUGCUCUCGGCAUGCAUGUUCUUUGUGAACCUUAAACUGAGCCCAUUUUCGCCACAAGCUGCGCGAAAAGCCGGACAGACCCGCCGGAUCUCACACACGCAGAGGAACUUACUGAGGGGCGGGGAAGAGGGGGGCGAGCAAAGAGCGGGAGCUUUGGCCGAGACCCGCUCAGGAGGUUUUGACUGAAUCUCUCAGUAAGACACUCGAGGCUGAGAAUCUUCCCCGAAGCGUUUAGGAUUCAUAUAUAAGGCAAGUGGGAGAGAGCUUCUUUCCUUAAAGCAAGUGGGACAGCACAACGCGUUUUGCGGGGAACGAGACGAGCAGCGAACGAGCCUCGUUUGCCCUUUAGGGAACGGCGCUCAGGAGCAGGAAUAGCGUGCUUCCAUCCGGACCAGCGGCGCUGGCAAAGCCAGGAGCUCGCUCAGCGUUUCGGGGCAGAUGCAGCUUCUGCCAUUUAUACCAAGCCCUUCUUCCUGCCACCAUAUCUCCUCCCAGGUCCCUGCUCUGCCCGCACGCCGCCCUGUCUCCCCUGCCCGACUUCAGCCCCUCCAGCGAUACGGCUGAUUGAGGGAGGGGAGGCGGCGGCUGGGGUUUCAUUCGACGCCCACCAGGGGCUGAGCGAGCCUCCUUCAGUGCGCAAACUCGGGGCACCAGAUAAAAGCUGGGCUGGCAGCUCUUACCCUGCCUCGAUGGAGCCGCAACAUUCGGGUGACUGGAGAAGCAGUUAGCAGCAGCGCCAUAGACUAGCGUCCCCCCACACCUUGAGCACAGAGAGUUUGGGGCUCUAAACAGCUGCUGCUGCGGCAGGAGGGAGCCGAGGGCGCUUGGCUGGGGCUGCUCGCUCGGGUUCUGCCUGUUGUUGCGCGAAAUGGCGGCUGGCGUCUUGGUCACAGAAAUGCCACAGUGUGAUGUGUCUGUAGAGGGCAAGUAAUGGCUGUGAAGUGUUUUCAAGCAAAAAGAAAAUGCUGUGGAAAUGCACAGAAUUAAUGUUGCUAUGUAAAUUUAAUGGGAGUUACCACCCAUCACAGCAACUGUGUGGAUACAACAAAAUGGAUCAAAUAAAGGGUUUGUACGUAUUUUGAAGUCACUAAAUUUCAGUAUUUGCUUGUACCUACCUGAUGGCAUACUUGAAUUUGAUCCAGUAAAGACUAGAAAUUCCUUUAGCCCACAAGUAGAAUUUUUCAGGGUCUGGGACUGAAAACACACUUGAGCACGAGCAGUUUUGGGGGAUCAGAUUGUAAGAAUUGUUUCCAGAAGAGCAGGUCCAGUCUUAGAAGUUUUCAGUCCGCUCUGGAGGCCAUCUACCAUGAGUGGUUAACUGCUUUGUUCAGUACGAGGGACCAUCUCAUGACCAUACCUGAUGCUGUGUGAAAAAUAGUCCAGACUGCCGUUUGGGAAUCUGCAGACUACUGGGGGGAGGGGGAAAGGAAGAACCUUUCCUUUGCCCAGGGAACUCUGUCCUUCCUUUUUCUUUUCCUGAAGAGGAUGGGGAAAGGCUCCAGGCAGAGAUAAAGAAGGAAAGUUUUCUGAGUAAUUGAGUAUUCUGCAAAGUACUGGAUGAAGCCCUUCAAAAGGCACAGGACUUCACUUGAGUGGUUUGCAUAGCUGAAAUAGCUAAUGUAAAUGAAUUCAGAGACAAAUCUCCUUAGCAAAAUCAGCCAUUCCUGAGCACAGAAUGUUGUCAGUAAUAAUUUGAGCAAAGUGUGUGGUCAUUGUUGUUCUUUUGUGAACCCUACCUACCUUAAAAUAUCAACAAAAGGCUCCUUGUGGCUGCGCAGCUUAACCUCAGUGUUUGAAAAUCUGGCAGUGCCAUGUCUGAUGUAGCUGCUGGUGAGAGAUCAUUUGCAAAUUUACUCCUAAACACAUUGUAAAAGGCUGAAUCCAAAUUGAUGCUUCACAUCCUGUUCAUCUUGUGUUUCACAGUAGGUGUGUGUGUAUGCUUUUCCCUAAAAUACACAAUAGUAAGUAUGACAUAACUGAAAAGUAGCAUCUUGCAUUUACAGGAAGAAGGGAGGGGGCAGGUAAGAGGGUGUAUGUAGCAGAGCUGCUGGCUUGCAGCAGUCCUUACUCAGUAUUGCAGCAGUUAAUUCCUGUCUUUUACAAAAUGAAUUGUUUAAAUUCCAUAUAAAAUGCUUUCCUAGACGUGCUAGGAGCCAACUCUGAGCUCUGACUAUUGCCACAUUCUGUCCUUGCAUGCAAGAUUAUCUUUACAGAUAAGCAUGAAUAGAGUUCAAAUGAAUCUAUCAAUAAUCAGUGGAAAGGAUGUCAUAAUGUGAAGUCUGAUACUGUAUAAAAAUAUACAAGUCCUUGAAAACAUGUGUUUGGAAAGGAACUGCUUUAUUCUUAACAUAGCUGCAGGUCUGGCAGCAACAGCUCAUGAAGAGGUGUGGGAAUUAGCUGAACAGACUCCCUGCUGGCAGGGAGGGCUGGGAGGCUGUAUACUACCAAUAGGAGACUGACUCCUCAUCUUUAAGUCCCUUUGGGUAAAGGAUGGUAAAUUAUUUUUCUUUGCUGAUGAAACACGUUGUGAGGCAAAGCCACAAUCGAGAAGAAAAAAAAUAAGUGUUUACUGGAAAUAAGAUCUUAAAUAAAUAAAGUCAAAGGAAAUAUGGUAUGUAAGAUUUCAAUUUUAGUUUGUCAUAAUCUCUUAGAUUUAUCACAAUGGGUUCAGCUAAAAGAAGAUAUAUGAGGAAGGUGGGGAGAGGAAGAGAUGGCUGAAGAUGAAACGCACGUUUUUAAUUACUCCAUUGCUAAUUCUCUGAUUUGGAUCUGCUUAUAAUUAAGUUAAACUAUUUUCAGUGGAAUUUUUCUUUGAAGUAUUUGCAGCAAUGCAGAGUAUGUGUGGUACUGUGCUGAGUCUAAAGAAAGGGCAGACAGAAAUACUCCCUUGUUCUGUGAAUGGCACAGUCUCUAUAAGGACUCCCAUGACUAUUAGCAGGCACUUUUUCCAAAAUCUACUUUUUUACAGCAUCAGUUAUGUGAAACUUAUAAAGCUCUCUGUAAUGAUGCCCUCUGGUGACUCUGAGAAUUUUUGCACUAGAAUGAAAUAAAAAGCAAGAUGGAAUUUGGCCUGGUACUAUGAAAGUACUCUGGCAAGUUGGACUAUUCGUUAAAGAUUAAUGAGCAAAUUAGAGCUCUUCGAGUUCAACCAGGCAAUAUACUCAAGCCAUACACAUACAGAAGUCCAGGACACACUCCAAGUAUUGUAGGAGCAGAGCUGAAAUGUGUAAGGUAGUCUCUCCCUCUGCCAUGCAAGUAAUCUCUUGUACAUUCAUGAUAAAAAGAAACCUGCCUUUUGGCACUGCACACUGAUAAUUUAUUUUCUAGUGCUUAGAGAAAAGAAAAUUAAAAGAUUAAAAAAAAUUCUCAAGCUUUUCUUGAUGCAGAGAAUAUGGAGGAUGUUAAUUAAUUAUAUGAAAUCUUAGAAAUAAACCAGCUGUGCAAAAGAAUGCCUUUUGUGUAUUUUACACUUAAUGUGGCUGCUACACAGUCUCUGGAAAACUGAUUUCUACCAUGCACUCUUUCCUCUCCUGGAUAUUUUUUUUUAUACACACAAUCUGUACCUCUAAUGUUUCUACGUUUACUGCCCAUCAUUUCCCAUCAUACAGACAUACGUGACUAGUAUUGCACUGACUCUGGAGCUCAUGUGUUCCUUAUUCUGCUCUGGUUGAAAAGGAUUCUUUAUUUACAGUGUUGUGUUAUUUUACGGCCAGAUCCAUGAUCAUGUAGUGUCUGCAAGGAAACAAGUAUGUGUGGCUGGGCAUGGGUGUGGAGUAGGUGUGGGCACCCCCUUCAGUAUCACUUCUGUUUUAAAUCAUGGCUAGGAAGUUAUGUCCUAAGAAAUAUGGAUGCAGCACUGGCAAGGCAAGUAACCCAACAGAAAGCCAUCCACAAGCAGAUACAAGCAAGGUAAUUAAUAGGGGAUAAACAGAAAAAAACCCAAAACAAUCCCUCCUCCCCCCCCAAACCUGUUGUAAUAAAUUUUUAUGAGGUGUGAACUAUUAUCUUUCAUCUUUAUUAACUGAAUUCCCAAAUUAGGCACAUACUUCUGAUAACUGUAUCAAGCUAAGUAACUCCUCUGCUUUUAAGCAGUGUUCCCCCAUGCCAUGCUUGGAAGAGGAUGCAUCUCCUCCCAUUCAUGUCCUUUGCCAAACAACCCCUUAGGCACAGUGUAGAUCAACUGGCUUUAAUGGAUAUUUUCUCUAAGAAAAACUAAAGGAGUAAACAAAAUAUUUGUUUUGACAAGAUGUCUACUUUGAUCAAAAUGUUAAGAUCAGGAGGUACAAGUAUGAUUUUAUCCUCACUUCCCAAAUAAUCUGUAGAAUCUUCACUAACUUCUUAAUUAAAUCAGUUAUUUACCUUUCAAGUGCAGUCUGUAUUUUAGGAAAAUAACUUGUGUUGAUUUUACAGGCCGUUUAGUAUCUGUAGAGGAGCUCGUCCUGUUGUUUUGAGGCCCAGUAAUACGUCGUGAAAGGAUUGUUUUUCUCUACUAACAUUUGCAGUGUUUCACUAUAUGUGUCUUGCAGUCACACAGUGCUUCCUCCUGGCCCAGUCAGUUACCCAGGUUCUUCUAGGAGAAUAAACCCAU